rnacentral:lncRNA from 1 species
CCCACAGCCAACGGGCUUUGAUUGCCAAACCCCAGGAGAUGCUGCCCAUUUUCAAUGAAACUCACCCUUGGGCUGAGCUCAUUUUGGUACCCCUGAAGAGUGAAAGGAUUGUGCAAGGAAUGAGGUUUGGAGAAAUCCAUUCAUUUAUUUCCCCAUCUGAAAUCUUCAAACGCCUGUGGCAGCUGGGGAUGCAGGAAAGGGAGCACUACAAAUUCCACUUGCAGGCUGGGACUCCAGUUUAAAUUCUGAAGUUGCAGUAGGAGAAUGCUAUGUACAGCUGUGCAACAUUGAAAUGAUGUGGGGAUGCUGUAAACAGAAAACUACAGUGCAUGUUUUAUAGACAUUACAGUCAUUUAUAACAGCAUCAACAAAACCUGCAGGGUUCUGAGUGUCUCAUUCAAGGCAGGAAGAAUCUGAAAAACUGGGUGAUACAAUUAAUUCUCCCAGCCAAUAGAAUGGAAACUGGCUCAGGUGAAAAAUCACCAAGGCUGAAUUUGGAUCAGGACAAGGAUAGGGAAUGGAGUAGGUUUUGAGAUGUCCCUGCCUAUAGCAGGAGGGCUGGAACCAGAUGAUCUUUAAGGUCUCUUCCCACUCAAACCAUUCUAUGAUGCUAUGUUUCUGUAUUCACCAGCCAAGAUAUUUGUUAAGACUUAGCCUGGAGCAGUUCUUCUCAGCAGCUGCAGCUUUAGUGCUUAUGAUACAGGGAAUAGACUAAUCUCUGUUAUCACAGCAAUAAAACCAGCAUGUGGCACAGUGGUUCCAGACCCAGUUACAUGAAGACUGCUCUUGGAAGCUCUAUGAAAAGAUGGAUAUCUUGUGGCUCAUUCUCAGGUGGUGAUGCAAUGGCACAGCUGCCCAAGGAGUGGUGGAGUCACCAUCCCUGGAGGUGUUCCAGAACUGUGGAGAUGUGGCACUGAGGGACGUGGUCAGUGGGCAUGGUGGGAUGGGUUGGAUUUGGUGAUCCGAGAGGUCUUUUUUCCAGCCUUUAUGUUUCUAUGAUGAUAUUUCAUUCUUGCAUGCGUUGCACCAAAGCAGUUCUCUCUCGUGAGCACAAGAAUUUCAAGGCAGCUCUGUUGGGUCCUUAAUCUGCACCAUGGCCUUUAAAUCCAAGUAGGAUGGACUCCGUUGUGAUGGGCUGUUGCUCAAAAACUGUCACGUGUUACCUGACAGCAGCUGUGGCUGUUCUCCUCCCAUACCUCCUCCCCUCACUCCCUGCCAGAAAAGAGAGUUUUACUGGAAAAGCAAAAUGCAAGAGAUCUCUUGUCUCAAAACCUCAGUGAACUAUUUUGCUGGCAUCACGUCUGGCAUCUUAUUUAUGUGGUCCUGAAAAAGGGGAUUUUUUUUUUGAAAACUGUGAAGAUGGGCAAGCACCAAGCUGGGAAUGGGAUGGAGACCACAAGAGGGUUUUCCUGGAGAGGAACUGAUGGAUGGGAAGAAAGUUUCUAAUGUGGUUCAAAGGGGAGCCAUUGUGACCCUCUUGCAAAACACGUGUAAUAGCUCUGACUAAAAGAAGAGCAGGGAGUUGAUGAUUGCUGUAGAUAUCAGAGAUAAUGACACUACAGAAAGUGUUUUCAUAAACAAACAAACAAAAAAAAGCCAAAAUUUAAGAGCUAAAAAGGGUUGCAUACAAUGAUGCACAGUUCAAGGAUGUGCACCGAGGGGACGAAACAAAAUGUUUAUCUAAAAGAGUAGAAAUUAUAGUUUGGAAGUAAUGGAAGAAAGCGUGGGUGCAUGGGAUAUCUACAAUGCAAGUAACUGAGCAUGUGGGAAAAUGUCAUUUUACUGAGCAAGGAGUUUCUAUGCCUUGUAAGCUGGGUUACGUGGCUUGGCCAUAAGUUCUUAGCAGCAAUAACACCUUCACCUGGGACUUCAUCUACUCUGCAGAUGGUUUGUAUGGGUAGAUCCCAUAACAAGGCUUCCCUGGCUUCCUGAAGAAGGUGCUGGUAACAGAGCUUGAGCAGAAACAAACUCUGCAGUUCAGGGUCUAGGCAAGGGUUGUGGGUUUUUAUUUUGUUUUUAUGGAAGGAGUGGCUUUUUGUUUGUUCCUUUUUAUGGCAGUGGGGGGGGUUGGAACCAGGUGAUCUUUGAGGUCUCUUCCAACCUAAGCCGUUCUAUGAUUCUACAAGCUGAGCUCUUGCAAGAGAGGAGCUGCCACGUCAACCCCACCUCCCAAAGCAGACACCACCUGGUGAUCACUAUUAUUUUUUCUUCCUGCUAUGAGACAGAUGCCCCAAAGAGGAAUCUAUAAACCCCCCGAGGAGAGCUGCUUGAAGCUUAAAUAAUGCUUUUGGGCAGCAGUUCCCACAGGCAGAAUGGCUGCAGAGGACUCCACAGGAAAGGCAGCAAGAUAGCUCCCUAGGAGUGGCAGGGAAAAGAGAUUACAGAUAUUUCCUCUGUUUGUUACUCAAACAAUAUAGAGACUUUGCUUCUCUCCUAGCAGCACUGCAGAGCUGCCCCCUAUUCAUGUGCAGUGUGCACCCUGCUGUCCUCAGUCCCCAGCUGUCCCGUGGGGACAGCACUGAGCAGGGAUAAAGGACAGGAGAGACAUGGAGCUGUGGGGUGGAACACCUCCCCUUUAGAUUGGACAUAAGGAAAAUGUUUUUUAUGAUAAGGACAGCAAGGCAGUGGCACAGGUUGCCCAGAGAGGUGGUGGGUGCACCAUCCCUGCAGGCACCCAAGGUCAGGCAGGAUGGUGCUCUGAGCACUGAUGGAGCUGUGGGUGUCCCUGUCCAGCGAAGGGAGUGGGACCAGAUGGCCUAUAAGGGUCCCUUCCAACUGAAACCAUUUUAUGAUUCUAUGAAGAUGGCUGCAAUGGUUGCGCUUCCAGACAGGUAAAAUGGCUGUGCUGUUCCUCCUACCUGUUUUUCACUCUCAGUCUGGUCCCACAAGUCCUCUGACCCUCACUGCCCACAUCCUUUGCACGAGUGGGUAGAAACUGGCACAGGUUGGAGUACAUCAGGAGUCUGUUUUCUUUUCUUUUCUUAGAAAAUCUCAACUUGUCCAAAAGAAAAUUAAAACAAAAAUGGUUUGUUAUGCUAUGGGAGCACUUCUGAUCCAAGGCAGAAGUGAAGGCCGUCCUCCCUCUCCUAGCCCUUGAUCACCUCUGCUGCUGGAGCACUCACUGGACACCAAGCUUCAAGUCCUACACCCAAAACCCAGCAGAUGUCCAGGGCCACUGCAGCAAACACACCACCUCAAUCAGUGCUUCAACACUGCUUUAUCCUAUUUUAGACAUUUUCCACAACUGUGUCCCUCUAAGGAUGCUGCUACUGUCCCAUUGGGGACAGCAUGCAAGGCUUGGAGAGCUGUGGUUUACCUAAAUCAACAAUAAUAUCCUUGGAGUCUCCAAUUCUUUGCCUGCUCAAAGGGAGGAAUGUCAUUUUGUACAUAAGGUGCUCUUGCUUUAAUCUUUGGUUAUGUUUAAACUUAAAAUGGGAUUUUUUAUUUUUUUUUUAGAUUGUUGUAUUGAAUUUACUAGGGAGCUCAUGCUCCGUAGAAGGCAUCACAGUUCCUAUGAUUCAGUGAUCAUAGAAUCAAAGAACGGCCUGGGUUGAAAAGGACCACAAUGAACACCUCAUUUCAACCCCCCUGCUAUGUGGAGGGUCGCCAACCACCAGACCUUGAAGCAUGGAAUAAAAUGAAGGGUAGAUCACACCUCAGCCUUCCGAUCUGUAAAACGGGCAGAAAACUGACUGUGCUCUCCAUCUUCCGGGGCUGCAUUGUGCUCCAUUGCAAAGAGCUUCCCAGUUGGGCAUUGCCAAGGCUGCAACUGCUCGGAAAUAAAACCUUUCAGCAAAACUGAAAUUCCUCUUGGAAAAAAAAAAAAAAAAGUAAAAUAAAAUAAAAUCAAUUAAUUUUCUAGGAAGGGAAUAAAAAUGCAUCAAAUGGUCUCUCUGGGAGAAUGGUUGGGUGGUUGGGUUUCUCCUGCCCGCCUGACUGUCCGGCUCCGUAUUUCGUCUGCUUUUAUUUAGGCUUGAGAUCAGUUUUCUGCAAUAUUGAGAGCAGCUCCUGCUCUAAUGAAACACCUUAUCUGCUCAUCCGAGGUGAGUCUCACUGCUGGAAGGGAAUUGUUUGACACAUUGGAUUAAAUGGUAAAAGAAGCUGUUUCACUCAAUACUAAUUAGAGUAGCACUGAGUGUAAAUUAAAAGAAAGAGAGAAGCUGAUCUCUCUUAGAGAAGCUCAACACCCAGACAGCUUUAAAGGAGCCAAGAAGGAUAAUUUCUGAACUUUAUUUUUUUUCAGGACUCCUAUUUUUCUAAGAGUCUGUAAUUCUGGAUCACUGUUUUCCACAGAAUUGGACUUUUCAGCAAAAAGGAAUUUCUGGGUUUUGCCCAGUGGUAACUGCAGCGUGCAGGCACUGCUGUUAAUUUUCAUGUUCUCCAGGGAUCCUGCAGUUUACAAUGGUGUUUAGUGUGUCUGUGGAAAUUCGUGAAGAAUAAGAGCUACGAUCACAGUGUUGCCACCAAGUAAACGUUAUUGUGAACGCAUCUCAGUCCUGAGUCUCAGUUCAACCACAAAGGGGGUGGUGAGGCCCCAGCACUGCUGCCCAGAGGUGUUGUGGGUGCCCCAUUCCUGGAGGUGCCCAAGGCCAUGGAUGGGGACCUGAAAAGCCUGAGCUGGUGCCUGAUUUAGUGAAUGGCAGCCCUGCCCAUGAUCUUUGAGGUCUCUUCUAACCCAAGCUAUCCUAUGAUUCCAUGAUUCUUUGAUUUGUAUGUGCUGCCUUUGUCCCCAAACCAGGAGAGAAGCAAAUCUCCAGUUUCACAGCUCCAAAGCUGAUGUGUGAGUUCAACCACCAUGGCCUUCACUCUUUGCCUUUGUCCAGACAUCAGCAAACCACUCACUGCUAAGAAAUUGUCCUGUUUUGUUGCCCCACUUCCCGUGAGGGUUUGACUAGACAAUGUUUACAUUGAACAUCCCAUACUGCAGGCUGUACCUUUGCCUUAUUGCUGUGCAAUAGAGACAAGGCACUUUAUCACCUACCCACUUAAGAUGGAAGUGGAUUUCUGAGCUGAAACAGCCAGCCUGUUUGCAGUAGCAUAUCACCCACACAAAUGAAGCCAAGACUGUCUUCUCCCUUCUUCCAUGUCUCCAAUAGAUGGCAUUCGUGGUCCCUUCUCUGUUAUUUUGGGACCACCAGGCCACAAAGCAAACAAAGUCAAACCAACUACAGCCAAAGCCUGCCAUACCACUGUGCAAACUCCUGCAGAAGGUGAAUUGCACCUUGAAACUCCUGCAGGUGAGGUGGGAACUCAACUCAGAGCUUUCUCCUGCCUGAUGGAUGUGCCAGGGUCUGGAAACCAGGCAUUUUCCUUGCAAAGCCAUCUCUGAGCUCAAAAUCCAUGCUUCCUCAUUUUGAAGCAAGAUCAUAUAUUCACAUACAAUUUAUUUUCUUCCUCUAUUUAAAUCUGCAAGGACAGAUCAUUUGUUCUUCCCACACACUCCAUCCUUGCAAAGCAGGGACGAGUGAAAAUAAAUAAAAGUAGUGUAUUUCUGGAAGUACACUUAUAACAGCCUGCAGUGCUCACCCUGUCUCAGACACGACCUACAGUAGGUGAAAAGUAGUCAAGAAGCAGUGGAGGACUGGAAGACAUGAUGUGGUGAGCACUGCCUGUGCAGCUGGGAUGCUUAUUAGCCAUUAUACACCUUGGGGAAUUACGUGUCCUCUUCUGACAGAUCUGCACAUAGAAGUAUGGGCAGUUUGUUCCUGGUAGACCUGCAGGCAACCUUAGAAUCUCCCUGUGCAUCAGCUGACCCAUGGUUAGGCAGGAGUUGGACUCAAUGAUGCCUGUGGGUCCCUUCAUACUCAGGAUAUUCUACAGUUCUGUGGUGACUUUCUACAUCCCAAGACAAACAACCAACAUCCAAAAUGAUCUUACUGCUGUGUGUAUUCCCAGGCCUUCAGGAAACACUACAAGGGGACACAGUGAGCUCUGCAUGGUGAGAUCAUGGAAUCACUGAGGUUGGAAAAGGCCUCUAAGAUCACCAAGUCCAACCCCAACCCAUCCC